rnacentral:rRNA from 1 species
UCCGGGGGGGGCAAGCGUUGUUCGGAAUUACUGGGCGUAAAGGGCUCGUAGGUGGCCAACUAAGUCAGACGUGAAAUCCCUCGGCUUAACCGGGGAACUGCGUCUGAUACUGGAUGGCUUGAGUUUGGGAGAGGGACGCGGAAUUCCAGGUGUAGCGGUGAAAUGCGUAGAUAUCUGGAGGAACACCGGUGGCGAAGGCGGCGUCCUGGACCAAUACUGACACUGAUGAGCGAAAGCCAGGGGAGCAAACGGG